rnacentral:rRNA from 1 species
ACUCCUACGGGAGGCAGCAGUGGGGAAUAUUGCACAAUGGGGAAAGCCCAUCGAUGCAGCCAUGCCGCGCUGUGUGAAGAAGGCCAAUUCGGGGCUUUGGUUAAAGACACUUUUCAGUAGGGAGGAAGGUAGUGUAGUUAACACCUGCAUUAUUUGACGUUACCUACAGAAGAAGCACCGGCUAACUCCGUGCCAGCAGCCGCGGUAAUACGGAGGGUGCGAGCGUUAAUCGGAAUUACUGGGCGUAAAGCGCAUGCAGGCGGCCUGUUAAGUCAGAUGUGAAAGCCC